rnacentral:tRNA from 1 species
UGGGGUGUCGACAAGCGGUAAGUCACCAGUUUUUGGUACUGGUAUUCGGAGGUUCGAAUCCUCCCACCCCAUCCG